rfam:Gossypium hirsutum cultivar TM-1 chromosome 2, whole genome shotgun sequence
AACCCAUGAUGAGGACACAUUCUCAAAAGAUCCUUCUAUCUCUCUCAUGCAUUAUAUAAUGUCUCCAACUUAAUUUGAGCAAAAUAAGAAAUGUCGUUCCUCAACUU